CAGCAGCCGCGGGAAUACGGAGGGGGCUAGCGUUGUUCGGAAUUACUGGGCGUAAAGAGCUCGUAGGUGGUUUGUCGCGUUGUUCGUGAAAACUCACAGCUCAACUGUGGGCGUGCGGGCGAUACGGGCAGACUAGAGUACUGCAGGGGAGACUGGAAUUCCUGGUGUAGCGGUGGAAUGCGCAGAUAUCAGGAGGAACACCGGUGGCGAAGGCGGGUCUCUGGGCAGUAACUGACGCUGAGGAGCGAAAGCGUGGGGAGCGAACAGGAUUAGAUACCCGUGUAGUCCCUGUCUCUUAUAC
rnacentral:rRNA from 1 species